CCUACGGGAGGCAGCAGUGAGGAAUAUUGGUCAAUGGACGAGAGUCUGAACCAGCCAAGCAGCGUGAAGGAUGACUGCCCUAUGGGUUGUAAACUUCUUUUAUAUGGGAAUAAAAUGUUCCACGUGUGGGAUUUUGUAUGUACCAUAUGAAUAAGGAUCGGCUAACUCCGUGCCAGCAGCCGCGGUAAUACGGAGGAUCCGAGCGUUAUCCGGAUUUAUUGGGUUUAAAGGGAGCGUAGGUGGAUUGUUAAGUCAGUUGUGAAAGUUUGCGGCUCAACCGUAAAAUUGCAGUUGAAACUGGCAGUCUUGAGUGCAGGAGAGGUGGGCGGAAUUCGUGGUGUAGCGGUGAAAUGCUUAGAUAUCAGGAGGAACUCCGAUUGCGAAGGCAGUUCACUGGACUGCAACUGACGCUGAGGCUCGAAAGUGUGGGUAUCAAACAGGAUUAGAUACCCGGGUAGUC
rnacentral:rRNA from 1 species